rnacentral:rRNA from 1 species
AGCAGCCGCGGUAAUUCCAGCUCCAAUAGCGUAUAUUAAAGUUGUUGCAGUUAAAAAGCUCGUAGUUGAAUUUUGGAUUCUUCCAAUUGGUCCAUCUUUUAGAUGAGUACUGGUUGUGUGGGGUCUAUCCGCCUGGUGAUACGUAAUGUCCUUUAUUGGAUGUUGCGGGUAGUCAGGACCUUUACCUUGAAAAAAUUAGAGUGUUUAAAGCAGGCUUAUGCCGGAAUACAUUAGCAUGGAAUAAUAGAAUAGGACGAAGUUGUUUUAUUUUGUUGGUUUCUAGGACAACCGUAAUGAUUAAUAGGGAUAGUUGGGGGCAUUAGUAUUCAAUUGUCAGAGGUGAAAUUCUUGGAUUUAUUGAAGACUAACUACUGCGAAAGCAUUUGCCUAGGAUGUUUUCAUUAAUCAAGAACGAAAGUUAGGGGAUCGAAGACGAUCAGAUACCGUCGUAGUCUUGACCAUAAACUAUGCCGACUAGGGAUCGGGCGAUGUUGUUUCCAUGACUCGCUCGGCACCUUAUG